rnacentral:rRNA from 1 species
AUAGCGUAUAUUAAAGUUGUUGCAGUUAAAAAGCUCGUAGUUGAACUUCAGAUUUGGUCGGGUGGUCCGCUUAACGGCGUGUUACUGCUUGGCUGGGUCUUGUCUCUUGGUGAACCAUUGUGCCCUUUAUUGGUGUGCUUUGGGGAACCAGGACUUUUACCUUGAGAAAAUUAGAGUGUUCAAAGCAGGCCUAUGCCUGGAUACAUUAGCAUGGAAUAAUAGAAUAGGACGUGUGGUUCUAUUUUGUUGAUUUCUAGAAUUGCCGUAAUGAUUAAUAGGGAUAGUUGGGGGCAUUCGUAUUUCAUAGUCAGAGGUGAAAUUCUUGGAUUUAUGAAAGACGAACAACUG